GAAAGAUAGCUCAGUUGGUAGAGCAUGAGAUUCUCGGUUUUGGGGUUGUGGGUUCGAGCCCCAUAUUUGGCA